rnacentral:rRNA from 1 species
AGUGAGCGGCACGCUCAAUUUGAAUCUGGUUUUUUGGGGUCCGAGUUGUAAUUUGUAGAGGAUGUUUCGGGCMCGCUCCGGUUUAAAUUUCUUGGAACAGAAUGUCAAAGAGGGUGAGAACCCCGUCUUGGACCGGCAGUAGGGCCCAUGUGAAACUCCUUCGACGAGUCGAGUUGUUUGGGAAUGCAGCUCAAAAUGGGUGGUAAAUUUCAUCUAAAGCUAAAUAUUGGCCAGAGACCGAUAGCGCACAAGUAGAGUGAUCGAAAGAUGAAAAGCACUUUGAAAAGAGAGUUAAACAGUACGUGAAAUUGUUGAAAGGGAAGCGCUUGCAACCAGACUUGCGCGCGGCGGUUCCCCCUUCCUUUUGGUUGGGUUAUUCCGCCGUGUCCAGGCCAACAUCGGUUCUGGGGGUCGGUUAAAGGCCUGGGGAAUGUAUCUACCCUUCGGGCGUAGACUUAUAGCCCCGGGUGUCAUGCGACCUCCCGGGACCGAGGAACGCGCUUCGGCUCGGAUGUUGGCGUAAUGGUUGUCAGCGACCCGUCUUGAAACACGGACCAAGGAGUCUAACAUCUAUGCGAGUGUUUGGGUGUCAAACCCGGAACGCGGAAUGAAAGUGAACGGAGGUAGGAAGCUUCGGCUGCACUAUCGACCGAUCCUGAUGUCUUCGGAUGGAUUUGAGUAAGAGCAUAGCUGUUGGGACCCGAAAGAUGGUGAACUAUGCCUGAAUAGGGUGAAGCCAGAGGAAACUCUGGUGGAGGCUCGCAGCGGUUCUGACGUGCAAAUCGAUCGUCAAAUUUGGGUAUAGGGGCGAAAGACUAAUCGAACCAUUAAAAAGUUACCGGUGGUUAAGUGUAACCGUGAAAGCGGUUGCAAGUGCCAGKUYYKGGCGCGACACYGUCMAMUUGCGGGGACYCCCUAAAGCUUCCGACGACYSGCCUCSCCCMCGAAAGUGGGAGUGAGGCACCAGGUU